CUUUUCCAUGUCAACAGUAGCUGCUGGUGCCCACUGAAUAUCGCCCACCAUUUUCGCAUCUGAAACAAUCAGCUGCUCUUUUAAAUAAUGCUGAAUACCUGUCAUUGGUGUGAGCGGGGGAGAUUGGCGACGAAAUUGAUCUAAGGAUGCAACCAUGUUCGACCUGUCUUCAUUUUCAAUACUACAAAUUACGACCAAGUGAUAUCCUAAAUAGGAAGAGGAUUUACCUAUUUAACAAUUAGUCACCAAAGGCGAGGUGAUUACAAGCUUAUCACUGAGCUGCAAAGCAGCGAAGUGAAUAUAGUCUUGUGGUCACCGAGCAUAACGUGACUAAUUGAUUUAGUAUAAAUUCAGUAUUGA
rnacentral:lncRNA from 1 species